rnacentral:rRNA from 1 species
CGGGUGAGUAACGCGUAAAGAACUUGCCUCAUAGUCUGGGACAACAUUUGGAAACGGAUGCUAAUACCGGAUAUUAUGCUUUCUUCGCAUGGAGGAAGUAUGAAAGCUAUAUGCGCUAUGAGAGAGCUUUGCGUCCCAUUAGCUAGUUGGUGAGGUAACGGCCCACCAAGGCGAUGAUGGGUAGCCGGCCUGAGAGGGUGAACGGCCACAAGGGGACUGAGACACGGCCCUUACUCCUACGGGAGGCAGCAGGC